rnacentral:rRNA from 1 species
AGUGAACGCUGGCGGUAGGCCUAACACAUGCAAGUCGAACGGCAGCACAGCAGUAGCAAUACUGUGGGUGGCGAGUGGCGGACGGGUGAGGAAUACAUCGGAAUCUACCUUUUCGUGGGGGAUAACGUAGGGAAACUUACGCUAAUACCGCAUACGACCUUAGGGUGAAAGUAGGGGAUCGCAAGACCUUACGCGGAUAGAUGAGCCGAUGUCGGAUUAGCUAGUUGGCGGGGUAAAGGCCCACCAAGGCUACGAUCCGUAGCUGGUCUGAGAGGAUGAUCAGCCACACUGGAACUGAGACACGGUCCAGACUCCUACGGAGGCAGCAGUGGGGAAUAUUGGACAAUGGGCGCAAGCCUGAUCCAGCCAUACCGCGUGGGUGAAGAAGGCCU